rnacentral:rRNA from 1 species
AGAACGAACGCUGGCGGCAGGCCUAACACAUGCAAGUCGAGCGCUGUAGCAAUACAGAGCGGCGCACGGGAGAGUAAUACGUGGGAACCUACCCUUUGGUUCGGAAUAACGUCGGGAAACUGACGCUAAUACCGAAUAAGCCCUUCGGGGGAAAGAUUUAUUGCCGAAGGAUGGGCCCAUGUUGGAUUAGCUAGUUGGUGAGGUAACGGCUCACCAAGGCAACGAUCCAUAGCUGGUCUGAGAGGAUGAUCAGCCUCACUGGGACUGAGACACGGCCCAGACUCCUACGGGAGGCAGCAGUGGGGAAUAUUGGACAAUGGGGGCAACCCUGAUCCAGCCAUGCCGCGUGAGUGAUGGAAGGCCUUCGGGUUGUAAAGCUCGUUUUGGCGGGGACGAUGAUGACCGGUACCGCAGAAUAACGGCCCCGGCUAACUUCGUGCCAGCAGCCGC